GCCUUCGCGGUGUAGUGGUCUACAUGCUCGACGCCUAAUCGAGAGGUUCGUGGUUCGAUUCCCGGCGAAGGCG
rfam:Stegodyphus mimosarum contig104980, whole genome shotgun sequence.